CUUGCGCAACACUAUUUAAUUUUUAUUUUGAUUUUUUUUUUCCACAGAAUUAUUUAUUUAUUUAUUUGCUCCAAGGUUCUGCAAAUCGGACCUAUUUACUGCUCGCGAUUAUUCACCGAUUUUCUUCCGUCAACUCGAAGAUAUUUCCCUUUGAAGUUCAUGGCGAAUCUGGACUCCGCUGAAGGUUCAGGCGCAAGAGAUGCAUCUGGUCAAAGUUCUGAGUCAACUUUUGAGAUCAACAUCAAGACCCUAGAUUCCCGGAUUUGCAGUUUCCAUGUUGAUAAAAAUAUUGUCGUCUUGGCAUUCAAGGAGAAAAUAGCUAGUCAAAUUGGUGUUCCUGUUGGGCAGCAACGUCUUAUUUUCAGGGGCAAGGUCUUGAAAGAUGAUCACCUACUUUCUGAAUAUAAUGUUGAGAAUGGGGAUACAUUACAUUUAGUUGAAAGGCAAUUACAGCCGGCUCCUGGACCCAACACUGUAGAAGCAACUUCAAGUAACGGCAACAGAGGCGUACAGGAUUCUACUGCUGGUGUCCCACGCAAUCGUAUCGGGCAAAUUGCUCACAGUGUAGUGUUAGGGACCUUAAAUGUUGGAGAUGCUGGGGAGGGUGCUGGACCAGAUUUAAGUCGGGUCAUCGGUGCAGUACUUAGCUCUAUAGGAAUUGGCAACCUGGCAGGAGGUGUGCAACCUGGUUUUCAGACUUCUCAUGGAAAUGACUCAGAAGGGUCACAGGUUAAUUCGAGCAACCGAAGUCAGGGCGGAAAUCAGUCUAUCCCUUCACCUUAUCCUAUGCAAACCCCUAUAGGAGCAGCAGUUGCUCUCCCGUCGCUGAACCUGCCAAUUCCUGAUUCACUAAACACACUUACCGAGUUCAUGAACCGAAUGGAAUCAGCAUUCUUGCAAAAUGGUACUCAGCAAAACCAAUCACCAACUGCUAGCGGCAGUAUACCUACCCCACAAUUGCCCACAAAUACCCGUGGUUCAACAGUGGAGGCUCUGACCAUUGUCUUACGACAUGCCGAACGUCUUCUUCGUGACCAUGCUGCUUCAGCAUUAUCUCAUACUGCGGGGCGUUUAGACCAAGAGGGAGGUUCAAAUGAUUCUGCUGUAAGGGGGCAAGUUCAGACAGAAUCCAUGCGUUUAGGUGUUUCUAUGCAACACUUAGGUGCACUUUUUCUGGAGUUGGGGAGGACAAUUUUGACUCUUCGCAUGGGACAAUCUCCGGGGGAAUCUUUCGUGAAUUCUGGGCCUGCUGUUUAUAUAUCUCCAUCAGGACCUAACCCGAUUAUGGUUCAGCCAUUUCCUCUUCAAACUAGCUCUCUUUUCGGGAAUUCAUCUGGUGUGGCACCAAAUCUUGUAGCUACCAAUCCAAUUGGUGUUGGUAAUGUCCCAAGGAAUGUAAAUAUUCAUAUUCACACUGGGGCAGCACUUGCGCCUAUGGUUUCCACGCUGGGUAACAGGCCACCGAGUGGUGAAGAAACGCAAAGAGACAGAGCUAGUAGAACUGAAUCUGGUGAGUCUGGUCAAACAAGGGUUUUGUCAGGGCUUAAUGUCAUUGCAUCACGACCUACCAUACCAAUUUCUAGUGCUGUACAACCCGGCACCGGUGUUUCACAGGCUUCUCAACCCAAUGCUAUUUCCUCAAUCGUGGCCGAAAUUGAUCGUCAAAUUAGAAGUCUAACUGAUAACAGGCAGAAUGAGCACCACACACCAUCAGAGGGUUUGGUCGAUGAUGCUCGCAGUCACCAGAGUAAUUUAUCCAGUAGCAGAGUUGGUGAUACCAGUCAAACUUCAUCUCAUAACACCAUCAUGGAGGACCAAAAAGUGAAAACACAAACUGAACCUUCUAGCAGUUCCGAGGGAGGUCCUCACCACACGUCAAGUGCGUCUGAGUAUGCUGAACGCAGUGAGGCGCCCCCAAAAUCCAGUCAGGGUAAUGAUAACCCAGAUGGACCUUCAAGUGUACCUCUUGGAUUGGGAUUGGGUGGCCUUCAGCCUAAGAGACGAGCCAGUCUGCCAAGAGCACAAGCUAAGAGCGGCGACGGUGCAAAUUCUAGUGGUCAGGACAAGAAAACUAGAGAAGUCGGACAACAGGUUCUUCAGUCACUUGCAUCAUCAUUUUCAUCUAGGGGAGACGCAAAUCCUCCUCCAGUGCAACAACCUUCAAACUUUGCCAGAGGAGGAGUCAUGGGUAAUGUGCCUCCUCCUUCAGGGCAAAAUGCCGAUUUAGCAGAUGCAAUGUCACAAGUUCUGCAAAGUCCUUCUUUGGACGGUCUAUUAGCUGGUGUGUCGCAGCAAACAGGGGUUGGUUCCCCAGAUAUGUUGAGAAAUAUGUUCCAACAAUUUACUCAAAACCCUGCUAUGAUGAAUACGGUGAGUCAGAUAGCCCAGCAGUUUGAUGGCAACGAUAUUGGAAGCAUGUUUUCGGGUUCGGGAAGCGGGGGCCAAGGUGGGGGGUUUGAUAUAUCGAGAAUGAUGCAGCAAAUGAUGCCCCUUCUUACUCAGACUUUAGGAGGAGUUUCGCCUCUUCCUCAACAAAGCCCUCCUUCAGAACCACUGCUCUUGGGAAGUAGUUCGAGAAGAGACAUACCACCAGUUAUUAAUGAUUAUCCUCAGGGAAUUGAUCUCCAACAAGUGGUUCAGAGGCUUGAAGGCGGAAGUUCGUCUGAGGAAGUUUUUCGCUCUUUGGUUGACAGGGCAGCGCAUUUGUCUGGUAGCUCGGAGGAAAGUGCUGUAAAUGAAUUGUCCAGUCAGGCAGGGCUUGCACAGGAGUUCAUGGAGAUGCUCCGUCUUGACGUGUCCCGGAGACUUCAGAACGAAGGGGGGUCUUAGGAGAAGAAUUGUAUUUUUUUGGUUUUUUGGUCGGUUGGCAGUAAUUAUUACCCGAUUUAUGUAUUUUGUCCCUUGCAAUAUAUUAUUUAUUGACUUUAUGUAACAAUGGAAAUUGGAAACACAUCCUUCGUAGCAGCGGGCUUGAGCUAUUUUGUAAUGUGACUAUGUGAGAUUUAGUUGUUGAUAUUUGAUAAUAGCUACAUGGUACAGUUGGACAUAGUCGAUACAAGCUUUUUUGCUUUGGAAAUGACUGGGUUUUAUUUAUUUAUUAUUAUUAAUUA